AUUAUCUUUAAAUUUCAAAACUUCUUACUAAAUGUGCCAUUUUACUUUAUGGCUUUCCUUAUGUUUUCUCUGAGUGAAAGAUGAAUUUAACUAUUAAAAUUUUGGCAUUUCAGUCACACACAGGAGAUGGCAAUUUGUGCUAAGAAUAAUAAAUGUGGGUGAGGGCUAUCCAAGUGGAUGGAAGUUUGGGGAAGAAAAGCAGUCCAGGUUCUUGGGGUAACACUGUGGCAAAAUUCCAGUAAGACACAUCCACUGCACCUUCCUGUUCUCAUUCCCGACUGGUCUGCUGUUUUUCAUCCUUCAAUCUGAUGAUAACACUGGAUGCAUGGGAGCCACUCUGUCUUCCUGCGCCAUGCGGGGCCACAGCUAAACCCUGAGACCUAACGCUGUCCUGUUCAGUACAGAAGGCAUUCACCACUGAUGUCUGUGGAGCACUUUAAAUGUACCCAGUUGGAUUUUAGCUGUGCUGCAAGUGUAAAAUACAUACCAGAUUUUGAAGACUUAAAUGAAAAGAAAAAAAG
rnacentral:lncRNA from 1 species